rnacentral:rRNA from 1 species
AAUCAACGCUGGCGGCGUGCCUAACACAUGCAAGUCGAACGAGAAAGUGGAGCAAUCCAUGAGUAAAGUGGCGCACGGGUGAGUAACACGUGACUAACCUACCUUUUAGUGGGGGAUAACCUAGGGAAACCUGGGCUAAUACCGCAUAAUACCUACGGGUCAAAGCAGCAAUGCGCUGAAAGAGGGGGUCGCGGCCGAUUAGCUAGUUGGCGGGGUAAUGGCCCACCAAGGCAGUGAUCGGUAUCCGGCCUGAGAGGGCGCACGGACACACUGGAACUGAAACACGGUCCAGACUCCUACGGGAGGCAGCAGUGGGGAAUUUUGCGCAAUGGGGGAAACCCUGACGCAGCAACGCCGCGUGGAGGAUGAAGUCCCUUGGGACGUAAACUCCUUUCGAUCGGGACGAUAAUGACGGUACCGGAAGAAGAAGCCCCGGCUAACUUCGUGCCAGCAGCCGCGGGUAAUACGAGGGGGGCAAGCGUUUGUUCGGAAUUAUUGGGCGUAAAGGGUGCGUAGGUGGUUC